AUACGGAAGGUCCGGGCGUUAUCCGGAUUUAUUGGGUUUAAAGGGAGCGCAGGCGGAGAUGCAAGCGUGACGUCAAAUUUCGGGGCUCAACCCCGUCUCGCGUCGCGAACUGCGUCCCUUGGUUGCGGGAAGGGGAGGCGGAACUCGUGGGGUAGCGGUGAAAUGCAUAGAUAUCACGAAGAACUCCGAUCGCGAAGGCAGCUUUCCGGCCCGUCAACGACGCUCAUGCUCGAAGGUGCGGGUAUCAAACAGGAUUAGAUACCCUGGUAGUCCGCACAGUAAACGAUGGACACCCGCGGUUUGGCCUAUAUGGCUGAGCCGCCAAGCGAAAGCGUUAAGUGUCCCACCUGGGGAGUACGCCGGCAACGGUGAAACUCAAAUGAAUUGACGGGG
rnacentral:rRNA from 1 species